UUACGGCCAUAUCACGUUGAAAUGGUUCUCAUACGAUCACCGACGUUAAGCAUCGUCGAGCCUGGUCAGUAUCUAGAUGGGUGACCGCUUCAGAAUACCAAGUGCCGUAAG